GCGUGGGUGAAGAAGGUCUUCGGAUUGUAAAGCCCUUUCGGCGGGGACGAUGAUGACGGUACCCGCAGAAGAAGCCCCGGCCAACUUCGUGCCAGCAGCCGCGGUAAUACGAAGGGGGCUAGCGUUGCUCGGAAUCACUGGGCGUAAAGGGCGCGUAGGCGGCCGCGUCAGUCGGGCGUGAAAUCCCCGGGCUCAACCCGGGGGCUGCGCCCGAGACGGCGGGGCUGGAGGACGGGAGAGGCUCGCGGAAUUCCCAGUGUAGAGGUGAAAUUCGU
rnacentral:rRNA from 1 species